rnacentral:rRNA from 1 species
CCAAAGAUUUUAUCGCUGGAAAGAUGGCCUCGCGUCUGAUUAGCUAGUUGGUGGGGUAACGGCCACCAAGGCGACGAUCAGUAGCCGGACUGAGAGGUUGGCCGGCCACAUUGGGACUGAGAUACGGCCCAGACUCCUACGGAAGGCAGCAG